rnacentral:rRNA from 1 species
UACGAAGGGGGCGAGCGUUGUUCGGAUUUACUGGGCGUAAAGGGCGCGCAGGCGGUCACUUUUGUCGAGUGUGAAAGCCCCGGGCUUAACCUGGGAACUGCGCUCGAAACGGGAUGACUAGAGAUCGGGAGAGGAGAGUGGAACUCCCAGUGUAGAGGUGAAAUUCGUAGAUAUUGGGAAGAACACCGGUGGCGAAGGCGGCUCUCUGGACCGAUACUGACGCUGAGGCGCGAAAGCUAGGGGAGCAAACGGG